GCAGCUACCAUGCAAGUCGAGCGAGAUCUUCGGAUCUAGCGGCGGACGGGUGAGUAACGCGUGGGAACGUGCCCUUCUCUACGGAAUAGUCCCGGGAAACUGGGUUUAAUACCGUAUACGCCCUUCGGGGGAAAGAUUUAUCGGAGAAGGAUCGGCCCGCGUUGGAUUAGGUAGUUGGUGGGGUAAUGGCCUACCAAGCCGACGAUCCAUAGCUGGUUUGAGAGGAUGAUCAGCCACACUGGGACUGAGACACGGCCCAGACUCCUACGGGAGGCAGCAGUGGGGAAUCUUAGACAAUGGGGGCAACCCUGAUCUAGCCAUGCCGCGUGAGUGAUGAAGGCCUUAGGGUCGUAAAGCUCUUUCGCCAGGGAUGAUAAUGACAGUACCUGGUGAAACCCCGGCUAACUCCGUGCCAGCAGCCGCGGUAAUACGGAGGGGGUUAGCGUUGUUCGGAAUUACUGGGCGUAAAGCGCACGUAGGCGGAUUAGUCAGUCAGAGGUGAAAUCCCAGGGCUCAACCCUGGAACUGCCUUUGAUACUGCUAGUCUUGAGUUCGAGAGAGGUGAGUGGAAUUCCGAGUGUAGAGGUGAAAUUCGUAGAUAUUCGGAGGAACACCAGUGGCGAAGGCGGCUCACUGGCUC
rnacentral:rRNA from 1 species